rnacentral:rRNA from 1 species
AUUGAACGCUGGCAGCAUGCCUUACACAUGCAAGUCGAACGGCAGCACGGGUGCUUGCACCUGGUGGCGAGUGGCGAACGGGUGAGUAAUACAUCGGAACGUACCUUAUCGUGGGGGAUAACGCAGCGAAAGCUGUGCUAAUACCGCAUACGCCCUGAGGGGGAAAGCGGGGGAUCGCAAGACCUCGCGCGAUUAGAGCGGCCGAUGCCUGAUUAGCUUGUUGGUGGGGGAAAAGCCCACCAAGGCGACGAUCAGUAGCUGGUCUGAGAGGACGGUCAGCCACACUGGGACUGAGACACGGCCCAGACUCGUACGGGAGGCAGCAGUGGGGAAUUUUGGACAAUGGGGGCAACCCUGAUCCAGCAAUGCCGCGUGAGUGAAGAAGGCCUUCGGGUUGUAAAGCUCUUUUGUCAGGGAAGAAACACCGGCUCUAACACAGUCCGGGAAUGACGGUACCUGAAGAAUAAGCACCGGCUAACUACGUGCCAGCAGCCGCAGUAA